rnacentral:snRNA from 1 species
ACACUCUGCUUUCUCUUCAAAAGGAAUAAAUCUUUCUCCUUUUACUAAAGAUUUCCACGGAGAGGAACAGUUACGAGUUGGUAACCAAAUUUUUUGAGGUAUUGCUCAGGCAAGGCU